GAGUCCUGAUGACAGACUUAGCAGAGAUGGAUUGGUGCCUUCGGGAACUGUGAGACAGGUGCUGCAUGGCUGUCGUCAGCUCGUGUUGUGAAAUGUUGGGUUAAGUCCCGCAACGAGCGCAACCCUUAUCCUUUGUUGCCAGCGGUUCGGCCGGGAACUCAAAGGAGACUGCCAGUGAUAAACUGGAGGAAGGUGGGGAUGACGUCAAGUCAUCAUGGCCCUUACGACCAGGGCUACACACGUGCUACAAUGGCAUAUACAAAGAGAAGCGACCUCGCGAGAGCAAGCGGACCUCAUAAAGUAUGUCGUAGUCCGGAUUGGAGUCUGCAACUCGACUCCAUGAAGUCGGAAUCGCUAGUAAUCGUAGAUCAGAAUGCUACGGUGAAUACGUUCCCGGGUCUUGUACACACCGA
rnacentral:rRNA from 1 species